rnacentral:lncRNA from 1 species
GUAUUUUAUAUUUUAAGUUUAAAUGCCUAGAUUUUUGUGGAAAAUGAAAAAUUUCCUGAAUGGAGAUGAGGUCAUGGGUUAAUUUAAAAUCCAAAUACAUGCUUUUUAAUGGAAAAAGGUAGUUUCAAAAUAAGGUAAUGAAAUAGCUGUCCCCGUCUGAUUGGGACAUCAUAAUAGGUGGCAAAUGUUCUUACACUUUGUGAAUGCUGUUAUGCAAUUACUCCUAAUACUCCCAUAUUAGAAUGUUUAGUCAUAUGUAAUUGUUAUUUUAUCCCAAUAUACUACUAAAAUGUAUUUUUUUUUACAUAUUCAUGACUAUCACACUUUUUGGAAUAAAGACAUAAUAACAUAAAACAAAUCUCAGUAGUCCUUUUCAUUUUUUGGCAGAAUGGUUUUCCAUCACUAAAUAAAAUUACAAUAGUAUCAUACUUAUUCAAUUAAAAACAAUUUAACAAGACCAUAUUCCACUGUUUACUUUGUAUGCCUCAAUUCUUAAAAACUAAUGUGAUCACAUCUGUUUCGUAUUAUGAAGUCUAAUUGUUACUCCCUCUUUUAGUGGGAUUUUUUAGUCAUUAUGCACAGUUUUUCAUAUUCACUUCCCAUUUCAGUUUCAAAAACUUUUGCAAAAGCUUAACCAAACAAUUGAGUCCUUCACUACAAUUCAUCUCUCCCACUUGCAAGGACCUGAAUCCUUACACACUUAAAACUCUUUACGAAUCCUGGCUUUUGAUUGGUGUCCUGUGGAAGAGGUGACCAAUCAGCAGUCAGCUCCAUUUAAUUGAGAUUGGAUUUUUUAUAUUCAAGGCAUCCAGUCAUUGAUGUAGGCUGUAGCCAUAGUAGAGCAAUGAGAUAGAACUACUAAAUUAUUUGUGUUAGCAGAAAAAAACCCAUUAAAGCUAAAUAAAUAAUACUUUUUGAUUCAUCCUAUUAGCUCAUUCAUGAGAAGUUUGUUGUAUGCUGAUAAGUUGCUUUGUCUUCCUAUUUGUAUUAGUUAAUUUUUAAAAGAGAUAUAAGGUAAUUUUUUUAAUGUGCAUGGCAAGGAGGAUGCCAUUUUUCAUAUUUUUCCAACAUCUCUCUGUAAAAUGUACUUUUUAAACAUUGUUGAUUGUUGUUAUUUAUUGUUGACAUAAUUGUUGUGUAUGAUAUUUAAUAUAUUGCACUGUUC